rnacentral:rRNA from 1 species
CCUACGGGAGGCAGCAGUGGGGAAUUUUGGACAAUGGGGGCAACCCUGAUCCAGCAAUGCCGCGUGUGUGAAGAAGGCCUUCGGGUUGUAAAGCACUUUUAUCCGGAACGAAACGCGCAGGGUGAAUACCCCUGCGAACUGACGGUACCGGAGGAAUAAGCACCGGCUAACUUCGUGCCAGCAGCCGCGGUAAUACGAAGGGUGCAAGCGUUAAUCGGAAUUACUGGGCGUAAAGCGUGCGUAGGUGGUUGGUUAAGUUGGAUGUGAAAGCCCCGGGCUCAACCUGGGAACGGCAUCCAAUACUGGCUGACUAGAGUUCGAUAGAGGGUUGUGGAAUUCCCGGUGUAGCGGUGAAAUGCGUAGAGAUCGGGAGGAACAUCAGUGGCGAAGGCGGCAACCUGGAUCAGAACUGACACUGAGGCACGAAAGCGUGGGGAGCAAACAGGAUUAGAUACCCUGGUAGUCCACGCCCUAAACGAUGCCGACUGGACGUUGGGAGGAACUCGCCUCUCAGUGUCGAAGCUAACGCGUUAAGUCGGCCGCCUGGGGAGUACGGUCGCAAGACUGAAACUCAAAUGAAUUGACGG